GAACCUUUUCCUGUAGUCUAGCUAUGCAGUGUCGAGGUAGACAGGGCAUGUGUCUAAGCUGUAAAAGGUGAAAAUCUCAAGUAGAUGGAACCCCAUUGACUCCUAGAGAGAUAGAUGAGUCACAGGAUGGGCUGCUGAGGAGGGGGAGGAGGAAGGGGAGGAGAGAAGAAUGGAUAAAGGGACAGAGGAAGGAGAAAAUGGAAGGGAAUGGGGAAGGAAGCAGGAAAAGUCACCAAUAUGACUACGUGACUUAGCAUCCAAGAUCUACCUGUGAAAAAUUAGCCAAUAGAGUCUGCGGGGGCGCAGGGUGAAGUCUGCAGGGGCUGUGACGGAGACACGGAGGAAGGAAGUGCAUUGAACGCAUGCAAAGGAAGGGGAUGAGCAUCCAUCAGGCAAAUCUGGAGCAGUCAUUCUCUCACUAUAGAAAUGAGCCUAUGCGAGAAACGGGUCAUAUACCGGCGAGCUGGAGAGUAAAGGUUGUGACCCACUACCCAGGCUUUGAAUCAAAUGAGAGAAAAC